rnacentral:rRNA from 1 species
GAUUAACGCUGGCGGCGUGCCUAACACAUGCAAGUCGAGCGGCAGCGAGUUUUACACUGAAUUCUGGAAGCUUCUAGUUGAAAGAGAAGAUUUAUUCAAGAAUUUUGUGUAAAAUGUCGGCGAGCGGCGGACGGCUGAGUAACGCGUGGGAACGUACCCCAAAGUGAGGGAUAACGCAUCGAAAGGUGUGCUAAUACCGCAUAUGGUCUUCGGAUUAAAGCCUUCGGGCGCUUUGGGAACGGCCUGCGUAAGAUUAGAUAGUUGGUGGGGUAAUGGCCUACCAAGGCGGCGUUCUUUAACUGGGUUGGGAGGCUGAUCAGUCAGACUGGAACUGAGACACAGUCCAGACUCGUACGGGAGGGAGCAGUGAGGAAUCUUCCACAAUGGGCGAAAGCCUGAUGGAGCAACGCCGCGUGCAGGAUGAAGGCCUUCGGGUUGUAAACUGCUUUUAUAAGUGAGGAUUAUGACAGUAACUGAUGAAUAAGGAUCGGCUAACUACGUG